AGCGAACGCUGGCGGCAGGCCUAACACAUGCAAGUCGAACGAACCUUUCGGGGUUAGUGGCGGACGGGUGAGUAACACGUGGGAACGUGCCUUUAGGUUCGGAAUAACUCAGGGAAACUUGUGCUAAUACCGAAUGUGCCCUUCGGGGGAAAGAUUUAUCGCCUUUAGAGCGGCCCGCGUCUGAUUAGCUAGUUGGUUGAGGUAAUGGCUCACCAAGGCGACGAUCAGUAGCUGGUCUGAGAGGAUGAUCAGCCACAUUGGGACUGAGACACGGCCCAAACUCCUACGGGAGGCAGCAGUGGGGAACCUUGCGCAAUGGGCGAAAGCCUGACGCAGCCAUGCCGCGUGAAUGAUGAAGGUCUUAGGAUUGUAAAAUUCUUUCACCGGGGACGAUAAUGACGGUACCCGGAGAAGAAGCCCCGGCUAACUUCGUG
rnacentral:rRNA from 1 species